AACGAACGCUGGCGGCAUGCCUAACACAUGCAAGUCGAACGGGAUCCUGGCUUCGGUCAGGUGAGAGUGGCGGACGGGUGAGUAACGCGUGGGAACCUGCCCAGUGGUGGGGGAUAACUGCGGGAAACUGCAGCUAAUACCGCAUGAGCCCGAGAGGGGAAAGAUUUAUCGCCAUUGGAGGGGCCCGCGUUCGAUUAGGUAGUUGGUGAGGUAACGGCUCACCAAGCCGACGAUCGAUAGCUGGUCUGAGAGGAUGAUCAGCCACACUGGGACUGAGAUACGGCCCAGACUCCUACGGGAGGCAGCAGUGGGGAAUAUUGGACAAUGGGGGGCAACCCUGAUCCAGCAAUGCCGCGUGAGUGAUGAAGGCCUUCGGGUUGUAAAGCUCUUUUGGCGGGGACGGAUGAUGACGGUACCCGCAGAAUAAGCCCCGGCUAACUUCGUGCCAGCAGCCGCGGUAAU
rnacentral:rRNA from 1 species